UAGGGAAUCUUCCGCAAUGGGCGAAAGCCUGACGGUGCAACGCCGCGUGAGUGAUGAAGGUCUUCGGAUCGUAAAACUCUGUUAUUAGGGAAGAACAAAUGUGUAAGUAACUAUGCACGUCUUGACGGUACCUAAUCAGAAAGCCACGGCUAACUACGUGCCAGCAGCCGCGGUAAUACGUAGGUGGCAAGCGUUAUCCGGAAUUAUUGGGCGUAAAGCGCGCGUAGGCGGUUUUUUAAGUCUGAUGUGAAAGCCCACGGCUCAACCGUGGAGGGUCAUUGGAGACUGGAAAACUUGAGUGCAGAAGAGGAAAGUGGAAUUCCAUGUGUAGCAGUGAAAUGCGCAGAGAUAUGGAGGAACACCAGUGGCGAAGGCGACUUUCUGGUCUGUAACUGACGCUGAUGUGCGAAAGCGUGGGGAUCAAACAGG
rnacentral:rRNA from 1 species